rnacentral:rRNA from 1 species
UAGUGGCGAACGGGUGAGUAACACGUGAGUAACCUGCCCUUGACUCUGGGAUAAGCCUGGGAAACUGGGUCUAAUACCGGAUACGACCAUCUGACGCAUGUCAUGGUGGUGGAAAGCUUUUGUGGUUUUGGAUGGACUCGCGGCCUAUCAGCUUGUUGGUGGGGUAAUGGCCUACCAAGGCGACGACGGGUAGCCGGCCUGAGAGGGUGACCGGCCACACUGGGACUGAGACACGGCCCAGACUCCUACGGGAGGCAGCAGUGGGGAAUAUUGCACAAUGGGCGCAAGCCUGAUGCAGCGACGCCGCGUGAGGGAUGACGGCCUUCGGGUUGUAAACCUCUUUCAGUAGGGAAGAAGCGAAAGUGACGGUACCUGCAGAAGAAGCGCCGGCUAACUACGUGCCAGCAGCCGCGGUAAUACGUAGGGCGCAAGCGUUAUCCGGAAUUAUUGGGCGUAAAGAGCUCGUAGGCGGUUUGUCGCGUCUGCUGUGAAAGACCGGGGCUCAACUCCGGUUCUGCAGUGGGUACGGGCAGACUAGAGUGCAGUAGGGGAGACUGGAAUUCCUGGUGUAGCGGUGAAAUGCGCAGAUAUCAGGAGGAACACCGAUGGCGAAGGCAGGUCUCUGGGCUGUAACUGACGCUGAGGAGCGAAAGCAUGGGGAGCGAACAGGAUUAGAUACCCUGGUAGUCCAUGCCGUAAACGUUGGGCACUAGGUGUGGGGGACAUUCCACGUUUUCCGCGCCGUAGCUAACGCAUUAAGUGCCCCGCCUGGGGAGUACGGCCGCAAGGCUAAAACUCAAAGGAAUUGACGGGGGCCCGCACAAGCGGCGGAGCAUGCGGAUUAAUUCGAUGCAACGCGAAGAACCUUACCAAGGCUUGACAUGAACCGGAAAGACCUGGAAACAGGUGCCCCGCUUGCGGUCGGUUUACAGGUGGUGCAUGGUUGUCGUCAGCUCGUGUCGUGAGAUGUUGGGUUAAGUCCCGCAACGAGCGCAACCCUCGUUCUAUGUUGCCAGCGCGUUAUGGCGGGGACUCAUAGGAGACUGCCGGGGUCAACUCGGAGGAAGGUGGGGACGACGUCAAAUCAUCAUGCCCCUUAUGUCUUGGGCUUCACGCAUGCUACAAUGGCCGGUACAAAGGGUUGCGAUACUGUGAGGUGGAGCUAAUCCCAAAAAGCCGGUCUCAGUUCGGAUUGGGGUCUGCAACUCGACCCCAUGAAGUCGGAGUCGCUAGUAAUCGCAGAUCAGCAACGCUGCGGUGAAUACGUUCCCGGGCCUUGUACACACCGCCCGUCAAGUCACGAAA